UUGAACGCUGGCGGCAGGCCUAACACAUGCAAGUCGAACGGUAACAGGAAACAGCUUGCUGUUUCGCUGACGAGUGGCGGACGGGUGAGUAAUGUCUGGGAAACUGCCUGAUGGAGGGGGAUAACUACUGGAAACGGUAGCUAAUACCGCAUAAUGUCGCAAGACCAAAGAGGGGGACCUUCGGGCCUCUUGCCAUCGGAUGUGCCCAGAUGGGAUUAGCUAGUAGGUGGGGUAACGGCUCACCUAGGCGACGAUCCCUAGCUGGUCUGAGAGGAUGACCAGCCACACUGGAACUGAGACACGGUCCAGACUCCUACGGGAGGCAGCAGUGGGGAAUAUUGCACAAUGGGCGCAAGCCUGAUGCAGCCAUGCCGCGUGUAUGAAGAAGGCCUUCGGGUUGUAAAGUACUUUCAGCGGGGAGGAAGGGAGUAAAGUUAAUACCUUUGCUCAUUGACGUUACCCGCAGAAGAAGCACCGGCUAACUCCGUGCCAGCAGCCGCAGUAAUACGGAGGGUGCAAGCGUUAAUCGGAAUUACUGGGCGUAAAGCGCACGCAGGCGGUUUGUUAAGUCAGAUGUGAAAUCCCCGGGCUCAACCUGGGAACUGCAUCUGAUACUGGCAAGCUUGAGUCUCGUAGAGGGGGGUAGAAUUCCAGGUGUAGCGGUGAAAUGCGUAGAGAUCUGGAGGAAUACCGGUGGCGAAGGCGGCCCCCUGGACGAAGACUGACGCUCAGGUGCGAAAGCGUGGGGAGCAAACAGGAUUAGAUACCCUGGUAGUCCACGCCGUAAACGAUGUCGACUUGGAGGUUGUGCCCUUGAGGCGUGGCUUCCGGAGCUAACGCGUUAAGUCGACCGCCUGGGGAGUACGGCCGCAAGGUUAAAACUCAAAUGAAUUGACGGGGGCCCGCACAAGCGGUGGAGCAUGUGGUUUAAUUCGAUGCAACGCGAAGAACCUUACCUGGUCUUGACAUCCACAGAACUUUCCAGAGAUGGAUUGGUGCCUUCGGGAACUGUGAGACAGGUGCUGCAUGGCUGUCGUCAGCUCGUGUUGUGAAAUGUUGGGUUAAGUCCCGCAACGAGCGCAACCCUUAUCCUUUGUUGCCAGCGGUCCGGCCGGGAACUCAAAGGAGACUGCCAGUGAUAAACUGGAGGAAGGUGGGGAUGACGUCAAGUCAUCAUGGCCCUUACGACCAGGGCUACACACGUGCUACAAUGGCGCAUACAAAGAGAAGCGACCUCGCGAGAGCAAGCGGACCUCAUAAAGUGCGUCGUAGUCCGGAUUGGAGUCUGCAACUCGACUCCAUGAAGUCGGAAUCGCUAGUAAUCGUGGAUCAGAAUGCCACGGUGAAUACGUUCCCGGGCCUUGUACACACCGCCCGUCACACCAUGGGAGUGGGUUGCAAAAGAAGUAGGUAGCUUAACCUUCGGGAGGGCGCUUACCACUUUGUGAUUCAUGACUGGGGUG
rnacentral:rRNA from 1 species